rnacentral:rRNA from 1 species
UACGAAGGGGGCUAGCGUUGCUCGGAAUCACUGGGCGUAAAGGGCGCGUAGGCGGCCAUCCAAGUCGGAGGUGAAAGCCCAGGGCUCAACCCUGGAAUUGCCUUCGAUACUGUUUGGCUAGAGACCGGAAGAGGUAAGUGGAACUGCGAGUGUAGAGGUGAAAUUCGUAGAUAUUCGCAAGAACACCAGUGGCGAAGGCGGCUUACUGGUCCGGUUCUGACGCUGAGGCGCGAAAGCGUGGGGAGCAAACAGG